UUGCACUGUUUGUAACCUGUGAUCAGCCCCUUUUCUGAUUGUGGGUUCCAUUCCAGUGCUACAUUAACUCAUCUAGAACAAGUGGUUGGCUGCUGGUGCAGUCUGUCUGUUCUGUACUUAGAUAUGUAA